rnacentral:rRNA from 1 species
CCUACGGGUGGCAGCAGUGGGGAAUAUUGGUCAAUGGGCGCAAGCCUGACCCAGCAACGCCGCGUGAAGGAAGAAGGCUUUCGGGUUGUAAACUUCUUUUUGCAGGGAAGAGCAUAAGACUUUACGUGUCGCAUCAGCCACUGCUAACUACGUGACAGCAGCCGCGGGAAUACGUAGGGGGCAAGCUUUGUCCGGCUUUACGGGGUGUAAAGGGCGUGUAUGCGGGCUGACAAGUCAUGUGUGAAAUCCGGGGGCUCAACCCCCGAACUGCAUUUGAAACUGUUGGUCUGGAGUAUGGGAGAGGCAGGCGGAAUUCCUGGUGUAGCGGUGAAAUGCGUAGAUAUUAGGAGGAACACCAGUGGCGAAGGCGGCAUGCUGGACGACAACUGACGGUGAGGCGCGAAAGCGUGGGGAGCAAACAGGAUUAGAUACCCUGGUAGUC